rnacentral:rRNA from 1 species
UACGUAGGCAGCGAGCGUUGUUCGGAAUUACUGGGCGUAAAGAGUGUGUAGGCGGUGCUCUAAGUUCGGUGUGAAAUCUCCUGGCUCAACUGGGAGGGUGCGCCGGAAACUGGAGUGCUUGAGCGUGGGAGAGGAAAGCGGAAUUCCUGGUGUAGCGGUGAAAUGCGUAGAUAUCAGGAGGAACACCUGUGGUGUAGACGGCUUUCUGGACCAUAGCUGACGCUGAGACACGAAGGCCAGGGGAGCAAACGGG